rnacentral:sRNA from 1 species
UUUUAUAUGCAAAGGUCCUCAGGCUACCAAUUACUGGUGUGUUCAGGGAUCAGGCAGCAGUUCUGAGUGGCUUGGUCAGUGUGUCCUGUCUCCUGAGGUUUCCUCUUUCAGUCAAGUGCCACCUCUUCCCCUUCAGGACCUAUACGAGGCAGGGGAACUGAAAUGGGGAACAGAUGAAGCCCAGUUCAUUUACAUCUUGGGAAAUCGCAGCAAGCAGCAUCUUCGAUUGGUGUUCGAUGAGUAUCUGAAGACCACAGGGAAGCCGAUCGAAGCCAGCAUCCGAGGGGAGCUGUCUGGGGACUUUGAGAAGCUAAUGCUGGCUGUAGUGAAGUGUAUCCGGAGCACCCCGGAAUAUUUUGCUGAAAGGCUCUUCAAGGCUAUGAAGGGCCUGGGGACUCGGGACAACACCCUGAUCCGCAUCAUGGUCUCCCGUAGUGAGUUGGACAUGCUCGACAUUCGGGAGAUCUUCCGGACCAAGUAUGAGAAGUCCCUCUACAGCAUGAUCAAGAAUGAUACCUCUGGCGAGUACAAGAAGACUCUGCUGAAGCUGUGUGGGGGAGAUGAUGAUGCUGCUGGCCAGUUCUUCCCGGAGGCAGCGCAGGU